rnacentral:lncRNA from 12 species
ACAUCCCUCUGUUCUGGUCUGCUUAACACUUUCUCCUCAGUAAAACUAUCAACGGAGGAAGGAAGACAGAAAUAACAACCAUUCCCAAACUUUCUCCUUGGGGAUGCAAGACAAACCAAGACACUGGUCUGAAAGCGCUAUAAGUCAGUGAGACUGAGUUAUGAGCAUCAGGAUCCAUGAGCAGGAAGGAUCAGCUAGUUCAGGAAGAUACAGGAGGACAUGGGCUUGGUGAGUGCAGUUUUUAAAGCUGCUUUAAACAAGGCAGGUGGGAUUUUUCAGAGUUAUUUUUUAAGGUAUUUUAUCUGUGCCUUUUUGUUUUUGUUUUUGAAGGUACCUCACUAAUUUAGAGACUUGUAUUUCUGGGUUGAGCAAGAAGUCAGAGAAGGAUCUAAGGAAAAGCAUAGUCUGCCCUGAACCACUGAGUGUAUGCUAGUGCUGCCCAGCACUGAAUGACAUUUAUUUCACUAUCUUCAGGGACAGAUUUUCAGAGCAGAAGAGGGUCUGGACUGCCCUGCCUUAUGAUCCUUUUCUUUCCACCCCUUUUGAUGGAAGAUGCUGUGGCUGCAUCUGGAGGCUCUGCAGUUCUGCUCUCUCUCUGAGCAGAAUUUACUACUUUGGAAAAAUUACAGAGGGGGGUAUCUUGAACUCUAUCUACUCCAGUGUUGCCAUAGCUAAAAGCAACUGUUAGUAUUGAUACAAUGGAGAACCCUCCCUUGUGCCCAGGUGAUCCAGGUCCUCCAGUAGCUCUCCCUUUGAGCCGGGUUUGUAACUCAAACCAGAUUUGCCAGUUUAAGAGAGGAGGGGAACCCACUGUAAAAUAGUAAAAUAUAAAAUAACCCACUGUAAAUUAGUAGGCAACUAAUUAAGAGAUGUAGAGGGAAGCUGAUAAAUGUAAUAGUGAUUAACAAUCCCCACCCCACUAUGGUUAGUACCUGAGAAGUUUUAAGUGAGUGCAGUGAAAAUGAAGGUAAAGGGGCAGGAGUUAUGAACCAGUUGACUUGUAAAGCAAUUAAGAACCAAGAGAUAAGCUUUAUCCUUCAACAUUUUUAUGAUAAAACUUAAUUUAAAGCACAGUUUACAUGUUCCUGUCAUAUGUAAUUUUGUUAGAAGCAAAGCUCACACUAUGAUCCAGCAUGCUUGCCAUGGGUGUGUGUGUGCCCUGUUGUGAUAACUGAACACCCUUUACCUGUCCACUAUAAAGCCCCCAAAUC